rnacentral:rRNA from 2 species
UUAAGUUAGAAAGGGCGCACGGUGGAUGCCUUGGCACUAGGAGCCGAUGAAGGACGGGACGAACACCGAUAUGCUUCGGGGAGCUGUAAGCAAGCUUUGAUCCGGAGAUUUCCGAAUGGGGAAACCCACCACUCGUAAUGGAGUGGUAUCCAUAUCUGAAUUCAUAGGAUAUGAGAAGGCAGACCCGGGGAACUGAAACAUCUAAGUACCCGGAGGAAGAGAAAGCAAAUGCGAUUCCCUGAGUAGCGGCGAGCGAAACGGGAUUAGCCCAAACCAAGAGGCUUGCCUCUUGGGGUUGUAGGACACUCUGUACGGAGUUACAAAAGAACGAGGUAGAUGAAGAGGUCUGGAAAGGCCCGCCAUAGGAGGUAACAGCCCUGUAGUCAAAACUUCGUUCUCUCCUGAGUGGAUCCUGAGUACGGCGGAACACGUGAAAUUCCGUCGGAAUCCGGGAGGACCAUCUCCCAAGGCUAAAUACUCCCUAGUGACCGAUAGUGAACCAGUACCGUGAGGGAAAGGUGAAAAGCACCCCGGAAGGGGAGUGAAAGAGAUCCUGAAACCGUGUGCCUACAAGUAGUCAGAGCCCGUUAACGGGUGAUGGCGUGCCUUUUGUAGAAUGAACCGGCGAGUUACGAUCCCGUGCAAGGUUAAGCAGAAGAUGCGGAGCCGCAGCGAAAGCGAGUCUGAAUAGGGCGCAUGAGUACGUGGUCGUAGACCCGAAACCAGGUGAUCUACCCAUGUCCAGGGUGAAGUUCAGGUAACACUGAAUGGAGGCCCGAACCCACGCACGUUGAAAAGUGCGGGGAUGAGGUGUGGGUAGGGGUGAAAUGCCAAUCGAACCUGGAGAUAGCUGGUUCUCUCCGAAAUAGCUUUAGGGCUAGCCUCAAGGUAAGAGUCUUGGAGGUAGAGCACUGAUUGGACUAGGGGCCCCUACCGGGUUACCGAAUUCAGUCAAACUCCGAAUGCCAAUGACUUAUCCUUGGGAGUCAGACUGCGAGUGAUAAGAUCCGUAGUCGAAAGGGAAACAGCCCAGACCGCCAGCUAAGGUCCCAAAGUAUACGUUAAGUGGAAAAGGAUGUGGAGUUGCUUAGACAACCAGGAUGUUGGCUUAGAAGCAGCCACCAUUUAAAGAGUGCGUAAUAGCUCACUGGUCGAGUGACUCUGCGCCGAAAAUGUACCGGGGCUAAACGUAUCACCGAAGCUGCGGACUGUUCUUCGAACAGUGGUAGGAGAGCGUUCUAAGGGCUGUGAAGCCAGACCGGAAGGACUGGUGGAGCGCUUAGAAGUGAGAAUGCCGGUAUGAGUAGCGAAAGAGGGGUGAGAAUCCCCUCCACCGAAUGCCUAAGGUUUCCUGAGGAAGGCUCGUCCGCUCAGGGUUAGUCGGGACCUAAGCCGAGGCCGAAAGGCGUAGGCGAUGGACAACAGGUUGAUAUUCCUGUACCACCUCCUCACCAUUUGAGCAAUGGGGGGACGCAGGAGGAUAGGGUAAGCGCGGUAUUGGAUAUCCGCGUCCAAGCAGUUAGGCUGGGAAAUAGGCAAAUCCGUUUCCCAUAAGGCUGAGCUGUGAUGGCGAGCGAAAUGUAGUAGCGAAGUUCCUGAUUCCACACUGCCAAGAAAAGCCUCUAGCGAGGUGAGAGGUGCCCGUACCGCAAACCGACACAGGUAGGCGAGGAGAGAAUCCUAAGGUGAUCGAGAGAACUCUCGUUAAGGAACUCGGCAAAAUGACCCCGUAACUUCGGGAGAAGGGGUGCUCUGUUAGGGUGCAAGCCCGAGAGAGCCGCAGUGAAUAGGCCCAGGCGACUGUUUAGCAAAAACACAGGUCUCUGCGAAGCCGUAAGGCGAAGUAUAGGGGCUGACGCCUGCCCGGUGCUGGAAGGUUAAGAGGAGCGCUUAGCGUAAGCGAAGGUGCGAAUUGAAGCCCAGUAAACGGCGGCCGUAACUAUAACGGUCCUAAGGUAGCGAAAUUCCUUGUCGGGUAAGUUCCGACCCGCACGAAAGGCGCAACGAUCUGGGCACUGUCUCAACGAGAGACUCGGUGAAAUUAUAUACCUGUGAAGAUGCAGGUUACCCGCGACAGGACGGAAAGACCCGUGGAGCUUUACUGCAGCCUGAUAUUGAAUGUUGGUACAG